rnacentral:rRNA from 1 species
GAUGAACGCUGGCGGCGUGCCUAAUACAUGCAAGUCGAGCGAACAGACGAUGCUCUUGCUGCUCUCACGUUAGCGGCGCACGUGUGAGUAACGCGUGUAUAACCUACCUAUCAGACUGGUAUAACUUCGGGAAACCGGAGCUAAUACCGGAUAAUAUCUUGAACCGCAUGGUUCAAUAGUGAAAGACGGUUUUGCUGUCACUUCUAGAUGGAUCUGCGCUGCUUUAGAUAGUUGGUAGGUUCACGGCUUACCACGGCAACGAGGCGUAGCCGACGUGACAGAGGGGUAGGCCACACGAGAACGUGGACACGGUCCAGACGCCUGCGGGAGGCAGCAGUAGGGUACCUUCCGCAAUAGGCGGAAGCUUGGCGGAGCAGCGCCGAGUGAGUGAUGAAGAUCUUCGGAGCGUAAAACUCUGUUAUGAGUGAAGAACAAAUGUGUAAGUAACUAUGCACGUCGUGACGGUAACUAAUCAGAAAGCCACGGCUAACUACGUG